rnacentral:lncRNA from 10 species
CACAAUAUGCCAAAACCUGUGGGAUACAGUAAAAGCAGUGCUAAGAGUAAAGUUUACAGCAAUAUAUGCUUACAUCAAAAAAGUUAAAAAAUUAUAAAUAAUCUAAUGAUGCAUCUCAAGGAACUAGAAAAGCAAGAAUAAAACUCAAAAUUCAUAGAAGAAAAAAGAUCAGAACAGAAGUAAAUGAAAUAGAGACUAAAAAAUACAAAGAGUCAACGAAACUAAAAGUUGUUUUUGAAAAGGUAAACAAAAUCAGUAAACUGUUAGCUAGGCUAACCAAGAAAAAGAGAGAAUACCCAAAUAAACAAAAUCAGAAAUGAAAAAGAAGACAUUACAA